AUUGAACGCUGGCGGCAUGCUUUACACAUGCAAGUCGAACGGUAACAGGCCGCAAGGUGCUGACGAGUGGCGAACGGGUGAGUAAUGCAUCGGAACGUGCCCAGUCGUGGGGGAUAACGCAGCGAAAGCUGCGCUAAUACCGCAUACGAUCUAUGGAUGAAAGCGGGGGACCGUAAGGCCUCGCGCGAUUGGAGCGGCCGAUGUCAGAUUAGGUAGUUGGUGAGGUAAAGGCUCACCAAGCCAACGAUCUGUAGCUGGUCUGAGAGGACGACCAGCCACACGGGGACUGAGACACGGCCCAGACUCCUACGGGAGGCAGCAGUGGGGAAUUUUGGACAAUGGGCGCAAGCCUGAUCCAGCAAUGCCGCGUGCAGGAAGAAGGCCUUCGGGUUGUAAACUGCUUUUGUACGGAACGAAACGGUCCGGGUUAAUACCCUGGGCUAAUGACGGUACCGUAAGAAUAAGCACCGGCUAACUACGUGCCAGCCGCCGCGGUAA
rnacentral:rRNA from 1 species